AAUGAUGGAGGAGCAGGCAUUUCCUGAGGAUUAAUGACCAGCUGGGAGGAACCAGUGGCCCUUGGCUCUGCCUCCCAGCCAGCCAUUAAUUCCAAGGAAAUGUCUUUUGCUGAGGUCGUU
ensembl:miRNA